GGGUUGUGAGGUUAAGCGACUAAGCGUACACGGUGGAUGCCCUGGCAGUCAGAGGCGAUGAAGGACGUGCUAAUCUGCGAUAAGCGUCGGUAAGGUGAUAUGAACCGUUAUAACCGGCGAUUUCCGAAUGGGGAAACCCAGUGUGUUUCGACACACUAUCAUUAACUGAAUCCAUAGGUUAAUGAGGCGAACCGGGGGAACUGAAACAUCUAAGUACCCCGAGGAAAAGAAAUCAACCGAGAUUCCCCCAGUAGCGGCGAGCGAACGGGGAGCAGCCCAGAGCCUGAAUCAGUGUGUGUGUUAGUGGAAGCGUCUGGAAAGGCGCGCGAUACAGGGUGACAGCCCCGUACACAAAAAUGCACAUGCUGUGAGCUCGAUGAGUAGGGCGGGACACGUGGUAUCCUGUCUGAAUAUGGGGGGACCAUCCUCCAAGGCUAAAUACUCCUGACUGACCGAUAGUGAACCAGUACCGUGAGGGAAAGGCGAAAAGAACCCCGGCGAGGGGAGUGAAAAAGAACCUGAAACCGUGUACGUACAAGCAGUGGGAGCACGCUUCGGCGUGUGACUGCGUACCUUUUGUAUAAUGGGUCAGCGACUUAUAUUCUGUAGCAAGGUUAACCGAAUAGGGGAGCCGAAGGGAAACCGAGUCUUAACUGGGCGUUAAGUUGCAGGGUAUAGACCCGAAACCCGGUGAUCUAGCCAUGGGCAGGUUGAAGGUUGGGUAACACUAACUGGAGGACCGAACCGACUAAUGUUGAAAAAUUAGCGGAUGACUUGUGGCUGGGGGUGAAAGGCCAAUCAAACCGGGAGAUAGCUGGUUCUCCCCGAAAGCUAUUUAGGUAGCGCCUCGUGAAUUCAUCUCCGGGGGUAGAGCACUGUUUCGGCAAGGGGGUCAUCCCGACUUACCAACCCGAUGCAAACUGCGAAUACCGGAGAAUGUUAUCACGGGAGACACACGGCGGGUGCUAACGUCCGUCGUGAAGAGGGAAACAACCCAGACCGCCAGCUAAGGUCCCAAAGUCAUGGUUAAGUGGGAAACGAUGUGGGAAGGCCCAGACAGCCAGGAUGUUGGCUUAGAAGCAGCCAUCAUUUAAAGAAAGCGUAAUAGCUCACUGGUCGAGUCGGCCUGCGCGGAAGAUGUAACGGGGCUAAACCAUGCACCGAAGCUGCGGCAGCGACACUGUGUGUUGUUGGGUAGGGGAGCGUUCUGUAAGCCUGUGAAGGUGUACUGUGAGGUAUGCUGGAGGUAUCAGAAGUGCGAAUGCUGACAUAAGUAACGAUAAAGCGGGUGAAAAGCCCGCUCGCCGGAAGACCAAGGGUUCCUGUCCAACGUUAAUCGGGGCAGGGUGAGUCGACCCCUAAGGCGAGGCCGAAAGGCGUAGUCGAUGGGAAACAGGUUAAUAUUCCUGUACUUGGUGUUACUGCGAAGGGGGGACGGAGAAGGCUAUGUUGGCCGGGCGACGGUUGUCCCGGUUUAAGCGUGUAGGCUGGUUUUCCAGGCAAAUCCGGAAAAUCAAGGCUGAGGCGUGAUGACGAGGCACUACGGUGCUGAAGCAACAAAUGCCCUGCUUCCAGGAAAAGCCUCUAAGCAUCAGGUAACAUCAAAUCGUACCCCAAACCGACACAGGUGGUCAGGUAGAGAAUACCAAGGCGCUUGAGAGAACUCGGGUGAAGGAACUAGGCAAAAUGGUGCCGUAACUUCGGGAGAAGGCACGCUGAUAUGUAGGUGAAGCGACUUGCUCGUGGAGCUGAAAUCAGUCGAAGAUACCAGCUGGCUGCAACUGUUUAUUAAAAACACAGCACUGUGCAAACACGAAAGUGGACGUAUACGGUGUGACGCCUGCCCGGUGCCGGAAGGUUAAUUGAUGGGGUCAGCGCAAGCGAAGCUCUUGAUCGAAGCCCCGGUAAACGGCGGCCGUAACUAUAACGGUCCUAAGGUAGCGAAAUUCCUUGUCGGGUAAGUUCCGACCUGCACGAAUGGCGUAAUGAUGGCCAGGCUGUCUCCACCCGAGACUCAGUGAAAUUGAACUCGCUGUGAAGAUGCAGUGUACCCGCGGCAAGACGGAAAGACCCCGUGAACCUUUACUAUAGCUUGACACUGAACAUUGAGCCUUGAUGUGUAGGAUAGGUGGGAGGCUUUGAAGUGUGGACGCCAGUCUGCAUGGAGCCGACCUUGAAAUACCACCCUUUAAUGUUUGAUGUUCUAACGUGGACCCGUGAUCCGGGUUGCGGACAGUGUCUGGUGGGUAGUUUGACUGGGGCGGUCUCCUCCUAAAGAGUAACGGAGGAGCACGAAGGUUGGCUAAUCCUGGUCGGACAUCAGGAGGUUAGUGCAAUGGCAUAAGCCAGCUUGACUGCGAGCGUGACGGCGCGAGCAGGUGCGAAAGCAGGUCAUAGUGAUCCGGUGGUUCUGAAUGGAAGGGCCAUCGCUCAACGGAUAAAAGGUACUCCGGGGAUAACAGGCUGAUACCGCCCAAGAGUUCAUAUCGACGGCGGUGUUUGGCACCUCGAUGUCGGCUCAUCACAUCCUGGGGCUGAAGUAGGUCCCAAGGGUAUGGCUGUUCGCCAUUUAAAGUGGUACGCGAGCUGGGUUUAGAACGUCGUGAGACAGUUCGGUCCCUCUCUGCCGCGGGCGCUGGAGAACUGAGGGGGGCUGCUCCU
rnacentral:rRNA from 1 species